rnacentral:lncRNA from 1 species
CAUUUGAAACCUUCUCUGCAUUUCUUCCUCCUCCUUCUCUUUCCCUUUCAGUCGCUCCACAUGUUCUCCCUUGCUGUAUAUCGGCUUUGCACCAUUUAAGUCAAUGGAGCUAUGCUAAUUUACAUCAGCUGAGGGUCUGGUCCAUAGUUGCUGGCCUUCCAGAGACCUGGUGCAGGACAUGCAGGUUGCCAGAUACUCGGCAACCAGGGGGACUACUGCAUGGACCCGCAAGAUGGAUUUGUCUGAGGUUUGCGAAGGUGGUAGGAUGGGAGCUUGCUAAGCUUUAGUCUGAAAUAGAUCCAAGUGGGCCUGUAUCCAACAUCGCUGUGAAUUUACUGUGUGACAAUAGGAAAUACUUUAAUACUCCACCACCAGGACUGUUAGAAUGAUGCCUUCUCCUUUAAAUAUUUGUUUCUUUUAAAGAGACGCAAUCAAAUUAAGAAUUAUGGGACCAACCCUUUGAGGAGGUGCAUCCCAUUUAAACCACUGAGAGUACUCAACACCACACAGGGAGGGCACAACGUCUUAC